CUUUUCUAGGGCUGCUCCCACAGCAUAUGGAGGUGCCCAGGCUAGGGGUCUAAUCAGAGCUGUAGCCCCCGGCCUACACCAGAGCCACAGCAACUUGGGAUCCGAGCAGUGUCUGUGACCUACACCACAGCUCAUGGCAACACUGGAUCCUUAACCCACUGAGCAAGGCCAGGGAUCAAACCCUCAACCUCAUGGUUCCUAGCCGAAUUCGUUAACCACUGUGCCACAAUGGGAACUCCUAGAUUCUUUUUUUUUUUUUUUUUUUUGGUCUUUUUGACAUUUCUUGGGCCGCACCCGUGGCAUAUGGAGGUUCCCAGGCUAGGGGUCUAAUCAGAGCUGUAGCUGCCGGCCUACACCACAGCCCACAGCAAUUUGGGAUCUGAGCCAUGUCUGCGGCCUACACUACAGCUCAUGGCAACGCUGGAUCCUUAACCCACUGAGCAAGGCCGGGGCUCGAACCCACACCCUCAUGGUUCCUAGUUGGAUUCAUUAACCACUGAGCCACAACGGGAACUCCGACCUUGACAGUCUUAAGGAGGGUUGGCCAGCUAUCCUGUAGAAUGUCUCCUGGACUGGGUUUGUCAGCUAUUUUUCUUAUAUUGGACUGGGGCUAUGGGACUUGGGAACCUGCCCUUCUCAUCACAUCAUGUCACAUCAGAGAGUGCAGGCAUGACACCCACGUGACAUCACCAAUCAUGUCAGCCCUCAUCCCUUGGGGAAGGCGGUCUCUGUGAGGUUUCACCACUGUAAAUUCAGUUUCCGCUUCCCCAUUCUAUAACUUAUAAGCCACCCAACCCUGUUUUAUUUGCAAUAAAAACAUAAAGAAAUGAGAUGCUGCUUGCAGCUGAGUGUCAUGGAACAAUUCUUGCCUGGUAUAUUUAUAUUUGAACAAGGGUUUUCUUGAAGCCCUCUGCCUCAACCAAAAGUAGCAACUCUAAUGGGAGGAAUUUCAGGCUCUGUGACAGUUGGGUGUGGGCGUGUGGGCUUGGGCGAUAAAUGUAAGCAGCAUUCUCAAGCCUACCUCUCAGUGCCCUGCUCCCCUGCCUAUAUAUAGGGCCAGAGCAUGGAGUAUCCUGUUCAUAACAUCUUAGUGCAGAUUUGAAAACUUAACCCGCCUACAUACACAGGAGGGACUGUCCUACCACCUAUUUUCUAAUACAGGGCAGUGAGUGCAGAUUUAGAAGGGGUGAGGAUGGUUUCCCCAGGACAAAUCAAGCCUCUUUGGUUGAGCACAUAAUGGGAGAGAAGUAUGGCUCCCUGGCUGGUUCAAGUUCAAAGUGUUCCCAAUGAGAGAGUCACUUCAUUUCAAGAGCAAGACCUCCCCUGCAUUUUUGAAAUUGGAAGCCACCUAAAAAGAGAUAUGAAAACAGGGAUAAAAGCCUCACCUGUGUUCCUGCUCAUCAAGUAGGAAGUUGCUGCUUUCGACGUCUUGUCAUGGCCACUUUCUGCGCCAGAGAUCACUUUCAGCACCUCUUGUUGUCCCAGCUGUCCCGAUGACCCUGCGAGCUAUGGAUUUUCGGGUUUAACGCUUUAGACAGAAAGUACUUCUGUGGUUGGAAUCGGCAGAAAGAGUCCAUGAAUCAUGCAGACUCUCUGCAAUGACAAAGUAGUUAUUGGAACUUUGCAGAAGUUGUUUAUUGGGCCUCUGACGUGUAGAGAAGCAAGGAAUUUAGCGACAGAUUUAGAGCAAUAAAGCAUGGUAAUGUUUAUUCACACUUUGUGCUGCCAACAUUAAAAUUCAGUUCCAUAAGGCUUUGACUUGGGUCCUUAGCAGAAAUCAUCUCAUAAUAUCCUUCUGACGUGGGCUGUGUGACAACCGUUCUGCAGGAGGUUGGAAUGAGGCAGAGAUUUAAGGGAAGUCUUUAGAUGAGACCAUGGAUGGAGAUCAGGAGGGGACCGGGGUGGGGGGCGGGAAGGUGUUCUGAGGUCAGGAAGGCCCAGCUGAGCACCCUGAGGACUCCUCAAGAUCAAGGCUGGAGCUCAGUUCUCAUGGUCACCUUGACUGGGUUCUAUUUCCACCUUUUAUUUAACACCUUUUGCUGGAAGUCGGACUGCUGGGCAGAGGAUUAGAACAAGAUUCUGCCUCGGCUCAUAUGAGGCUUACAGUUUAGAGGGGUGGAGGCAGGGGGAGGGUGACAUGGGACAGACAGGUGAAAAACUGGGCAAUUAAACCAGCGGCAGGUGUUACCCAAGUGGUGACGAGGGUUUGGGGAUGGGGGAUUCCAGGCAAAGACAAGGCAAGUUAGAAGACCCAGAGGCAGGCUGGGAGAGCUGUAGGUAACCAACCCAACCAACCUCCAUGGAAAUAAUGAUGAGAUUUUGUGUCUCAAAAAAAAAAAAAAAAAAAAAAAAAA
rnacentral:lncRNA from 1 species